CAAGACGCAACAAAACAACAACAACAAAACUAUACUCAUCCUCACACUCACAGGAAAAAGCCUAAAAGAGCAACUUUAGAUCCCUCUGUUCUACAGUGUUCUACAGUGUUCUACAGUGUUCUACAGUGUUCUACAGUGUUCUAGUGUUUUAGUGUUUUGUUCUGUUCCCUUUAAAGACAAAAUGAUCUAGCAUUCUAAUUGGACAUCCAUCUCGCUUUUGUGUGGAGGGGCUGCUCACUGGUGAAUCCUGUGGCUGACAAGCAGGCCUAAAGAGUCAGCCCUUUUCUUAAUGGUAUACAAGAGGCAAUAACAGUUGAGUAAUGCAUUAACUGGUUUGUCUAUCUAAGACAAAACUUCUAGGCUCAAUCCACCCUCCAGUUUUAUCUCCUGAUAGCAGGACUAUAGAUGUGUGCCACCAUGCCGUCCACCUGAUAAAAUGUUCUGCAUUCAAGGACAGCGCUGGUGAUCAUCUGUUUUAGAAGGCACCACUUACACACCACGACUGAUAAGCUUGCCAAACCUGCCUUGAAGAUUCAGGUCACCAGUAUGGUGGAGUGGCUUGGUAAAACUUGGGAGAUCUCAAGGUCUUCGAAUUCCCCAUCUUCCUGCCUCCAUCUCCUCAGAGCUGGAUUGCAGGCAUGCACCAGCGCAGCUGAUUAGACCAGUGACAUUAAAAUACUAUAAACGAAA